GCUAGGUGAACAUUCCACUGG
rnacentral:miRNA from 1 species